GCAGACAUGAACCACUGGCUGAGAAACAUCCUGAUUCUGACUCUCUGGCUAGAGUGUAAAGGAGAAGACAGAGUGACCCAGCCAGCAGGAGAUGUCAUUGCUGCUGAAGGAGACACAGUUACACUUGACUGUACUUUUGAGACCAGUGACCCAGUUCCAUAUCUCUUCUGGUACCAACAAAAAGUAAAUGAGUCACCAAAGUAUAUGCUGAGAUGUUACUCAAAAACAGUCGAUUUUGCUGAAGAACUCAUGAAAGAAAGAUUUAAUGCUACAAUCAAGAAUAAGUCAGUUCCUCUGAAGAUCCAGAAGCUUCAGCUGUCUGACUCUGCUGUGUACUACUGUGCUCUG